rnacentral:hammerhead_ribozyme from 1 species
GUACUGCUGACGAGUCCCAAACAGGACGAAACAGAUGUUCAGUGC